CAGUAGCCACGGGAACACGGAGGGCGCGAGCGUUACCCGGAUUUACUGGGCGUAAAGGGCGUGUAGGCGGCCUGGGGCGUCCCAUGUGAAAGGCCACGGCUCAACCGUGGAGGAGCGUGGGAUACGCUCAGGCUAGAGGGGGGAGAGGGUGGUGGAAUUCCCGGAGUAGCGGUGAAAUGCGCAGAUACCGGGAGGAACGCCGAUGGCGAAGGCAGCCACCUGGUCCACUUCUGACGCUGAGGCGCGAAAGCGUGGGGAGCAAACCGGAUUAGAUACCCGCGUAGUCCCUGUCUCUUAUACA
rnacentral:rRNA from 1 species